rnacentral:rRNA from 1 species
UGGGGAAUAUUGGUCAAUGGGGGAAACCCUGAACCAGCGACGCCGCGUGAGGGAAGAAGGUCUUCGGAUUGUAAACCUCUGUCUUUGGGGACGAAACAAUGACGGUACCCAAGGAGGAAGCCACGGCUAACUACGUGCCAGCAGCCGCGGUAAUACGUAGGUGGCAAGCGUUGUCCGGAAUUACUGGGUGUAAAGGGAGCGUAGGCGGGGCGGCAAGCAAAAUGUGAAACUGAUCGGCUCAACCGGUCAUUGCGUUUUGAACUGUCGCUCUUGAGUGAAGUAGAGGCAGGCGGAAUUCCUAGUGUAGCGGUGAAAUGCGUAGAUAUUAGGAGGAACACCAGUGGCGAAGGCGGCCUGCUGGGCUUUUACUGACGCUGAGGCUCGAAAGUGUGGGUAGCAAACAGG